UAUUUAUAUUUCUAAAUUUAGCAAAUUUAGAAAGUUCCCUUUUCGACAUCAUUAUUUGAAGAAAAUUUGAUAGUUAAAGAUCACUUUUGAUCAUCUUAGGAAAGAAAAAAGAUAAGUCUUUCUUUUUUAAUUGAAUCAUCAACGAUUUCAAUGAUCUAAAAUAGAUAAAUACACCAAACAACAAAUCCAAUUUUUUUUAUGAGAUGGAUAAAAAAAGAUUAAUAUAAGGUAAGAUUUUAAUUCUUAUUCUUUUUUUUUCAUCUG
rnacentral:lncRNA from 1 species